CUUGUCUCUCAUGCUCUAGAAAGAUCUCAUCAAAAUCGAUGCCACCGCUUUACCGCUUUAUGCGUCCAUAAAAAGGCCUCCCAAUCCCACCACCGGCCCUGUUUCCUCUCCCGGUGUCGGCCACUUUUUCUCUUCCCCGCGGCCGAGUUGAUGGUGUAUGGAAGACGAGCGGGCGGGCGCGGCGGCGGCCAAUCGGAGCAGCAGCAUGAGACCCUCUGCCCCGACCUCUCCCUUUUUGGGAGACACGCAGGGGCGGCGACCCAGCGACGGCAGCGGCCAGUGCCGUCUCCAGACCUCUCCUAUCAGCAGGACAUCCUCCUGGCCUCCCCACCGCGCCGCCUACCCGUACCCAUCCGUCAAGCAAGAGCAGGCUCUAGGUGAGGUGGAUCGCGGCAGCCUCCUGCUCCUAGCCUGCGACACACUCCGACGAGUGGCUCGGACAAGGGCGCCGUUGCCAAGGCCACCUUUACGAUGGAUCCUCCCACCAUGACGGAGAUGAUGGACCACGACCAUGGCGACGAGUACUAGGACAAUAAACUACUCAGUAUUUUUUCCGAACUUUACCCUGAGUUUUUAUGAACUUUCUGUUUAGCUAUUUAUUCAGAAAUUGAUUUGAAGUGCUCAUAUGUAGAACAACCAGAAUUGUAUGAGUCAAUUUAUGGGACUUCCCCUGUAUAUGCCAAGAAUUUUGGGAUUACAUUUGUGCAGAAUUGGUUUGAUGCAUGUAUCUCACCUUUGUUCUGAUGUUAGCUUUGCUCUACUGCCCUUCCGUGAAUAAUUAGCUGUGCAUGCUUUCGUGUUAUAUUUUUUUAUAUACGAGCAGUGCUCUAUUUUAGAAAUGAUUCACAGUACAUGUUUGAUAUUCAUCCCUAAUUCCUUAUACAAGCUUUCUUUUAACGCAAUGGUUUCAUGCUUGAUUAUAGGUCCUCUCCCAUGCUUACAUCAGAGCUCCAAGAAGGUUGCUUUAGAUGAAAAUUAGGUGGAGAACUGUAAAAGCAAAUUGUUGUAGAUUUAUUCCCAGUUACUGCUUUACAAAUGGAAGGUUUACUGCUGAACAAUAGAAUGGUCAAGGUACUGUUGCGAUAUGGAAAUAUGAUUAUUUAAUCACAUAUUUUUCUUUCAUGAUAUAGGUAUCGCCAGCUGUCCUUACAACCCUGCCGCUGGAAGAUGCAGGCUUGCUAGGAUGUGAGACUGCACCUAGCGGAACUAUUCGGCAAAUUUGCCCAGAUCUGCUUCCUAGAUCAUGCAAUCAAUAUAGGUUUUAUAUAAGCAGGUUUAUGGCAGGGCCAUAUGAUUAUCUCUACUGGACUAAUAAUAGUAAUCACUUCCCUAUAGGUCCUGAAGGAUGCAAGCUGGAGGUGGAUGCAAAAUUUCUACAUUAGACUCAAAUUUCUUGAUGUGGCACUGAUUAUGUAAUCUGGUAUGGAUUCGUAAUGAGGGUGGUACAUGUUUAUUCAGCUCAACAUCAGGGCGCGUGCGCAUGAACGGCCACUUGCGGUAGAUUCUGGUCUCCAGCCUCAGCAUCGAGGUUUCGGUCACGUCCUAGAAGUAGGGGGUGCACCAGCAGCGUGCCAUUUAUGGCCAUCCACAAGCGCCGAAGCCCCCUGGCGGUGGCACGAAGGGUGCCCUUGUGCAUGAUGUUCGCGCCUGAUGUUGUCGGUGAGGAACACGCAGGAUGGGAUGGUGCUAAUUUGAAACAAACAUUUAGGAGACGUGUAGAUGAAUCCUUGUAUGGUAGAUGGCUGGAGCUGCUACGCUUAGUUAGUAACACUUCAGUUUCAGCAAUCUGUGAUAAACCCGUUUGGGUUCUUGAUAAGUCUCGUACCUACUCUGUGCAAUCCUUUUAUAGGAUGAUCAAUUUUGGGGGCGUCCGUAUUGAACUCCAGGAUUACAUUUGGAAGAUUAAAGUGCCGCCCAAUAUUCAUGUUUUCCUGUGGCUUAUUGUCCACAACAUGAGUUUAACCAGAGAUAAUCUAGCCAAGCGUUAAGCAGUCCCUGA